AUGAACGCUGGCUACAGGCUUAACCCAUGCCAGUCGCGGGGAAACGACGGGGAAGCUUGCUUCCCCGGGCGUCGACCGGCGCACGGGUGAGUAACGCGUAUCCAACCUGCCUCUGACUGAGGGAUAACCCGUCGAAAGUCGGCCUAAUACCUCAUGGUAUCGUCUGCGGGCAUCCAACGACGAUUAAAGAUUUCAUCGGUCAGGGAUGGGGAUGCGUCUGAUUAGCUUGUUGGCGGGGUAACGGCCCACCAAGGCUACGAUCAGUAGGGGUUCUGAGAGGAAGGUCCCCCACAUUGGAACUGAGACACGGUCCAAACUCCUACGGGAGGCAGCAGUGAGGAAUAUUGGUCAAUGGGCGAGAGCCUGAACCAGCCAAGUAGCGUGCAGGAAGACGGCCCUAUGGGUUGUAAACUGCUUUUAUGCGGGGAUAAAGUGAGGGACGUGUCCCUCAUUGCAGGUACCGCAUGAAUAAGGACCGGCUAAUUCCGUG
rnacentral:rRNA from 1 species